rnacentral:rRNA from 1 species
CAGUAGCCACGGGAACACAGAGGGUGCAAGCGUUAAUCGGAUUUACUGGGCGUAAAGGGCGCGUAGGUGGUUAUGUAAGUGAGAUGUGGAAUCCCCGGGCUCAACCUGGGAACUGCAUCUUAUACUGCGUAGCUGGAGUGCAGUAGAGGGUAGUGGAAUUUCCGGUGUAGCGGUGAAAUGCGUAGAUAUCGGAAGGAACACCAGUGGCGAAGGCGGCUACCUGGACUGACGCUGACACUGAGGCGCGAAAGCGUGGGGAGCAAACAGGAUUAGAUACCCCCGUAGUCCCUGUCUCUUAUAC